rnacentral:rRNA from 1 species
CCCUAGUAUUAAUAAAAUUUGAUAUUAGUAUAUAAUUGAAAAUUAAUAUUUUUGGCGGUUAAUUAUUUAUUAGAGGAGCUUGUUGAUUAGUAAGAAUUUACUCUUUAUAUUUUAAUUGUAAGCAAGUUUAUUCAUCUCCGUUAUUAAAUGUAAUUGAUAAAGUUUAUUUUUAUAUUUCAGGUCAAGAUGUAGCAUUUAUUAUUUUUAAUUAGCUACAUUUAUACUUAUAAAUGGAUUUUUAAUUGGUUAAGUUAAAAGGAAAUUGAAUUUAAUUGUAAUAUUUAUUAGAAAGUAAGUAUGAAUUAAUAUAAUUAAUGUA